UUUAAAUCAUCGUUCCCUCACCUCCUGGUGAACCCUCCAACAUUUCACAGAGCCACAACUCACACCUUGACAGGAAAGACCAAAGACACUUGUCAUCUCCACCAAUCUCCUGCCUAACUCAACCAGUGUGGAUAAAGUCGUCUUGUCUGCACCAUGCCGUCCUGGGUUCUUGAUCCAUAGCAAGAAGAAUCAUCAAACUUUGCAGAUUCACCAAUAAACCUUUUAAACUUUC